UUAAAGAUCUAAAUUUGAAAGAAGAAAAAACAUGCAGUGUUGCUGGUCCUCCAGGAACGUGGUUAAGAAACACUGAUCUAAAGAUUCUCUACCAUUAGCCAUCUCAAAAGGGGUUUUAUAGACUAUGACCAUACAUCCAACCGGCCUCACAACCCCAUGACCAUGUGUAACCACACCAGCCCAGGACUUCCACAUUCAGUAUCUUCUCCACUAAGAUCAGGGGUGCUCAAAAUCAGUCCUGGAGGGCCGGUGUCUUGCAGAAUUUAGCUUCAACUUGCCUCAACACACCUGACAGGAAGUUUCUAGAAGGCCUAGUUAAAGCUUGAUUAGCUGGUUCAAGUGUGUCUAAUUGGGUUUGGAGCUAAACUCUGCAGGACAAAAGCCCUUCAGGAUCGAAUUUGGGCACCCCUGACCAAGAUGGUCUGAGAUCAUUCAAAUGGACAGCUGCUGCAACAAUCAGUUAACAGAACCAAAGAAUUUCCACACAGACUGUUAGAAAUCAACUCAAGGAAGCUGAUCUGCAUGCUCAGUAUCCUCAUUAAUAUUUGACUGUGCAAAUGCUCACAUUCGAUGGCGCCUAGUGCUUUGGAGAGGAGUUCUCUUCACAGAUGAACUCUGGUUUUCACUGUACUGGGCAAACUGGCAGACAACAUGUGUGGUGUCAAGUUGGUGUAGGUGUGCUGUGGUCAAAGUGGUAUGGUACAUACCUGUCAACCCUCCAUUUUUUUCCAGAAUUCUCCCAUAUUGGACUAUUCUAUACCUCUAUCAUCCCGUUUAAGUAUUUCCCAGUAUUUCUCCCACAUUUUAAAUCUUUCUAUAAAGAAAUUCCCACUAUACACAUAUGUUUGCUACUUCCACCUGCAGGCAGAUCAUUCACUUGACCGGCAAACAAGAAGAAUAGUAGAAGACAAAAUAGUAGUAGAAGAAGAAAAAAUAGUUGUAGAAGAAAAUAAACAAAUAGCAGUAGAAGAAGAACAGCAUACCAAUGAUGGCGGAACGCAAGAGUGUUGACCUUGGAGUGCCUCUUAAAAAAAGGUGAAAAUGUUGUGUAAAUAUCUCUACCAGUGGGAGGAGGCUUUCUCAUAUAUAUAACGAAGAGCAAGUUCGGGACAUGUCACGCUUAUAAAAAUUGUUGUACAGACUUUAGUAUAUCGCCCGAGGAAAGAGUUAUUGAGCCAGCACGAGAAGUCGUCAAAACAUAAGUGUGCCCAAGAGGCGCAUAAAACUGCGCAGCCGAUUACUCAGUUCGUAAUAGUACAUUCCGAGGCUAAUCAAGUGACCACAGCAGAGAUCAAAAUGGCAGUGUGCCAAAAACAAUAUAUCCUUAAGUUUUUGUGACUGUAGCUCGAAAGUACUCCGCGGGAAAACCAAAAGCCACACAGCUUAUCAAAGGUGCCAUAGCUGUGGACCUUGAUGAAAAAGUAGUAAUGAUGUGCAAAUCUCAGCCUUUUUCAUUGUUGCGCAACGAGUCAAACUACAGAAAAACUAACAAAGAGUUUGUCAGAGGAAUGAGGAAUGCCAAAGUUCGUGAACUGAUAAGCCAUCUCAGUGAUCCAGUUAUAAAGAUGUACUUCAUGUUCCUGAGUGUUGCCCUUAAGCCUUUGUCUGAAUUUACGAUUGCAUUUCAGAGGGAGUGCAGAUUCACAGGCUUGAAGAGAUGUCCAGGCUGAUCAGGCGUUUUUUUUU